ACCGGCGCACGGGUGAGUAACACGUAUGCAACCUGCCUGCCACAGCCGGAUAAUCGGGAGAAAUUCCGUCUAAUACGGCAUAAUGCAUCGACGGGACAUCCUGUUGGUGCCAAAGGUUGAUUCCGGUGGCGGAUGGGCAUGCGUCGCAUUAGUUAGUUGGCGGUGUAACGGACCACCAAGACGACGAUGCGUAGGGGUUCUGAGAGGAAGGUCCCCCACACUGGAACUGAGACACGGUCCAGACUCCUACGGGAGGCAGCAGUGAGGAAUAUUGGUCAAUGGGCGGAAGCCUGAACCAGCCAAGUCGCGUGAGGGAAUAAGGCCCUACGGGUCGUAAACCUCUUUUGCCGGGGAGCAAGGGCCGGGACGCGUCCCGGCCCGGAGAGUACCCGGAGAAAAAGCAUCGGCUAACUCCGUGCCAGCAGCCGCGGUAAUACGGAGGAUGCGAGCGUUAUCCGGAUUUAUUGGGUUUAAAGGGUGCGUAGGCGGGCUUUUAAGUCAGCGGUAAAAAUUCGGGGCUCAACCCCGUCCGGCCGUUGAAACUGGGGGCCUUGAGUGGGCGAGAAGAAGGCGGAAUGCGUGGUGUAGCGGUGAAAUGCAUAGAUAUCACGCAAAGCCCCGAUUGCGAAGGCAGCCUUCCGGCGCCCUACUGACGCUNANGCACGAAAGUGCGGGGAUCGAACAGGAUUAGAUACCCUGGUA
rnacentral:rRNA from 1 species